rnacentral:lncRNA from 1 species
CAAUGUGAUAUUGUUCUUUUCGUUGUUGAUUUUAUUCUUCCAAGACGUUGUCGACAUCGUCAUUGCUGUCUCAGUGAUGUUGUUAUUAGUAAGAUGGUGCCACUGUCUCUGGACGUGAUAUGGUAUGGGAGAUCGGUCUUGUUUGGUUUCGUAAGGUGUGGUGGUCUGGAGGUGAGUGUUCUAGCAAGGUGUUUGUGUUAUAGGAGAAUAGCGGAUUUUUUCUUAGUCCAAAUAGCAAUGUUUUCUUCUUGUUGCAUCAUCAUCAUCAUCGUCGUCGUCAUCAUCAUCAUCAUCAUCAUCAUCAUCAUCAUCAUCAUCAUCAUCAUUAUCAUCAUCAUUAUCAUCAUCAUCAUUAUUAUUACUGUUGUUGUCGUCUUUGCAAUUGUUGUUAUCGUUAUCAUUGUUAUCGUCACCAUCAUCAUCAUCAUCAUCAACAUCAUCAUCAUCAUCAUCAUCAUCGUCAUCAUCCCCAUCAUUGUUGUUGUUAUGUUUGUUGUUUUUGUUUUUGUCUCGUAGCCGAUUUUUCUGUUUACCAUUUAUAUUUAUUUCAUAUUUUUUAUGUUGUUUUCGUUCAUUCUUGUGAUUGUCAUUGCUUAUUAUUUAAUUUUUUUCUUUCUUUUUCGAAAUAAUUUUUUUUUACUUCUUCCAAGAUUUGUAUUUACAUGCAUACGUGUGUGUGAGUGUGCAUGUAUAUGUAUAUAGAUAUAUAUGUUUGUAUAUAUGUAAAUAUAUGUAUGUAUCUUUAUGCAUACGUGCACGUAUAUUUUUAUAUACAUAUAUAUGUAUAUGUAUGUGCGAACGUAUGUAUGUAUGUAUUCUUAAUCUCGUAAUUUUGUUUCAAUUUUCUAGAAUCCUUGGCAGGAUAUAUAUCGGUGAUAGUAGGUGGACUACAAAAUUAUUCAAGUUACAAAAUUCUUCAAUUUAUAAAAUUCAAGUAUUUUCAGACACGACUGUCAUCCAGAUUCUUAAAUAUGGUAUGUGUUGAGCUCAUAUUUCAUACAUACAUUUUCUUCAGAAGAAAUUUUUAAAUAAGAAACACGAUCUCUUAGGUUCUUCGAAUUUAGCACUUUUAGUUUUAAAAAAAAUAUUGUCCAUUUUAAUGUAUCAAGAUCUCUAACAUUGUUACACAUAAUAUAUAUUUAAUAUAUGCGUCGUCUAUAGAUGAGUGUAUUAUAUUUAUAUCAGAAUCACAUUUUCUUAAAUUUCACCAACACUUUGAUUUUUCAACUGUUAAAAUUGUAUAAUCUUUUCAUAUAGCUUUAAAUGUGUGUGUGUGUGUGUGUGUGUGUGUGUGUGUGUGUGUGUGUGUGCGUGCGUGCGCGCGUGCGUGCGUGCGUGCAUGCGUGCGUGCGUGCAUUCGUGCGUGCGUGCAUGCGUGCGUGCAUGCGUGCGUGCAUGCGUGCGUGCAUGCGUGCGUGCAUGCGUGCAUGCAUGCGUGCGUGCGUGCCUGCCUGCAUGCGUUCGUGCGUGCAUGUAUGUAUGUACGUAUAUUGUAAAGUUUAUGAACAAAGACAAGAAUAAAGACAACGCGGGAUGGACAGUUAUGAACAAGUAUUGUGUGAGUUAAACGUUUAGAAAAGAAAGGAAAUGACCUCAACGUUUCGGACACUAGUACUUCAUCAAAGGAGAAGUAUAGAAGAAAAGUAAAUGAAGCGUGCGAGAGGGAAAUAGUAAUGGGAGGGGGGAGGGCCUAAAAAUGAAAGAAAAGUAAGGAGAAAAGGGAUAAAGGAGACGUAUGUUCGUAUAAAGAUCCAAAGAGUGCAGUUUUCUACUAGGGUUUGUCCAAUAUACUGUUAUUCUACAGAUUCUAUAUAAGUAUAUAUCUUUAAUUACCAUUUUCUUUUUCAUCUCUCCUUCAUAUUUAAAGAAACAUGAAUAAAGGAUUUUAAAAAAAACUGAGUUAAACAGAAGUUAAAAUAUUUAUCAGGUUGAGUAAAAAGUAAGCAACGUUUUGAACCAUGAAUUAUACUGAAUUUAUACUGAAUUUUUGUAGAAUUUUGAAUUUUUAAAAAACUUUUUUGCAAUUGUCUGACAAUACAGACAUAGACUUGCCCAAAUGCAUCAAUAAAUUAACAUAAUUUUUUUUAAACGUUAUUACAAUCAUCUGAAAUGGAACUAUCAAAGCGCGAUAUUCGAGCAAUAUUGCUAUUCAACUUCAAAAAAGCAGCUGAAACUACUCGCGAUACCAACGAAACAUUUGGUGAGGAAAUGACCAGUGAGUGGUCAGCUCAAAAAUAGUUUAAACGAUUUUGCAAUGGGGACUUGAGCCUUGAAGAUCGUGAGCGUAGUGGACGCCCAUCUAUCAUUGCUGUCGGUCAAUUAAAGACUCAUGGAGAAAGAUCCACGUAAAAGCACUCGAGAACUGGCAAAAGAACUUCGAGUUAACAAGAAAACUACCUGCAACCAUUUGCAUGCGAUCGGAAAAUCAAAAGGCUCGACUAAUGAGUACCACACAAUUUCAUUGAAAAUCAGAAAAUGCGCAGAUAUGAAAUUUGUUCGUCGCUUUUUCUCCAUAACCAAACUGAUCCAUUUCUCGACCGUAUUAUAACUGACGAUGAAAAGUGGCUUCUGUACAGUAAUAAAAAAACGUUCAACCAAAAUGAAAUACUGAAAACCUUCCCUAAACUCGAGCUCUUCAAAAAGGUUAUGGUGACUGCUUGGUGGUGUAUUGCUGGACUCAUCCACUAUAACCUUAAAACCAGGAAAAACCAUUAAUACAGAAACAUAUUGCCAUGAAAUUGCCAAAAUGAACGAAAUACUGCUAUUCCUCCGUCCCAGACUGGUCUGUAAAAGAGGGCCAAUAAGUCUUCCUGACAAUGCUCGACUGUACGUAUCACUAAUGACGCUCCAUAAGUUGGGGGAACUUGGCUACGAAGUUCUUCCCCACCCAGCUUAUUCUCCAGACCUUUCUCCUACCAACUACCACUUUUUCAAGCACCUUUGUGGUUUCCUGCAAGAGAAGGAGUUCAAAAAUCAAACUGAUGCUGUAAGUGCGUUCAAAGAGUUCAUCAGCUCCAGAACUUCAGACUUUUAUGUUACCGGAAUAAACAAACUUGUAACUCGUUGGCAAAAAUGUGUUGAUUGUAAUGGUACUUACUUUUGAAUAAAAUUUCCUCAUUGUUGAAAUAUAUUGUCAUGAAUUUCAUGUUUCAAAACGUUGCUUACUUUUUACUCAGCGUGAUAGUACAGAGUUGAAAAUAUUUACUGUGGAACAUAAGAAUACAUCAUACAGUGAUGAUAUUUAGCUGGGUGACCAAUAUUAUUUUAAAGGUUUUGUUCAAUCCGGGAGAGAAAUUCUAACAUGUUUUGCUGUUAUUGAACUUUCUCAGCAAAGCAUGAACUUCGCGGUACUUGCCGAAAUUGUAUUAUGAAAUUUGCCAUUUCGGAUUACUUUGCAGUUGCCUGAAUAAGCACAGCAUAUUACAAAUUAGUUAAGAAAAAAUAUUGAUUGUAAUUACUCACAAACACCAUCUACAUGAAACAUAUUGAAUGUAAUGGGCAUCAGCAAUCUAAUUAGAAUAUGAAAGAAAACGGAAGAGAAGAAUAUCUCAAUGUCUAAUAAUUUUUUAAUCAUUUUCACAAGCAGGAGAAAUAACUCCAAGCACGUUUCGGUCUUAUGAGAUACACCUUGAUGUAUAAUUAACUGCAGUUCAACUCUUGGUGAAAACCAAAAAUUUCUCGCGUGCUGGUAAAUGCAUUAUGACAGAUGGCAGGAUCUUUGGACCCUCAUUAGAGUCAGGUAAACUAGGCAAUAUUGCUUUCGACUCAUAUACUCUGUCCAUCUACACCCUGUCCGAAAUACUCUGUCCAACUAUUCAAACUGUCAAUCUCCUCAAUCAGCAUGGUACCAUUCUUUGCUCAGAGACCUCAUUUAUCUUCUGAUGCACUUUGUAUCCUACAGGAAAUUGCUUUUCAAUUACAUCACACUAUUCAUUCAGGCAAGUCUUUUUAGCUUCCUUACACAUCCGUUCAGUCAAUCCAAAUCCCAAUACUCGUUGGAUUUCCUGUUCCUGAUCAUCUGUCUUUUAUUCGUCAUUGAAAGUAUCUCCUCAGUUACCAAUUACAUAUUUUUUUCUUUUCUUUUGGCAGGAUUUCCUGGGAUGUUUCUACUAAGGUGUUUCUCAUUACUUCUCACGCAAAAUCUGCAUUCUCAAAAUUAUAUAGCAUCUUGAGAAACCGUACUCUGAGCAUCGAUAUCAAGAUGCGUAUAUUGAACUCUUAUGCCUACCCUUUUGUAUGGAAGUAUAACAUGGUCUUUAAUAUUAGAAAUAAGAAGGUGCUUGGAGAGCUGUGAAAUGUGGCUCUUAAGGAGAAUAUUGAGGAUAGCAUGAACAGAGUGUCUAAUGAAAAAGUGAUGACCUGGUCUGUGAUAAAUAGGGUACUGUUUCGUGAAAAAAGGCCAAGAAACUGAAAUUAAUUGGUCGUGUAAUGAUGAAAGAAGGCCCGGAGAAUUUAGCGAUGACCAGAAAGAUUGAAAGGAAAAAAAGCAGAGGAAGGAGAAGGAUGAUAUGGAUGUCAAACUUGACAAACUGGUUGGAAGAAAGAGACAUUAAACAUCAGGAAGUGGAACUGUUACAGAAUUCAAAGAACAUAGAAUUGUGACAGGGCAUUUUCGCCUCUCUCAUUCUGGACAUAGCACCUAAAGAGGGAAAUGCAUGAAUGUCACAACAUUAUAUAGUGCCAUCAUAAUAUUAUGCCAGUCUGAAAUUAACAGUGGUAUAAAUAAAGUCUAUAAAAAUGAAUGAAAUUACUGAUUCAAA